rnacentral:rRNA from 1 species
UACGUAGGGUGCAAGCGUUAAUCGGAAUUACUGGGCGUAAAGCGUGCGCAGGCGGUUGUGCAAGACAGAUGUGAAAUCCCCGGGCUUAACCUGGGAAUUGCAUUUGUGACUGCACGGCUAGAGUGUGUCAGAGGGGGGUAGAAUUCCACGUGUAGCAGUGAAAUGCGUAGAUAUGUGGAGGAAUACCGAUGGCGAAGGCAGCCCCCUGGGAUAACACUGACGCUCAUGCACGAAAGCGUGGGGAGCAAACGGG